GGCCUCGUAUCUCAGACGGUAGAGAGUGCAAUGGACAAAAGUGUAGGCGGCUUCCAGGCGUGGGUUCGAAUCCCAUCGAGGCUA
rnacentral:tRNA from 1 species